ACAAUAAGUAGUGACCACUAAAAAGUUUAACUACAACUAGAUCUGGGUUUAGAGUGUAGUGUAGUACAGUUUAAAAAUAUCAGUAUCAUCAUAGUUUCUGCACCAGCGUGUAGGGUAGUCUUAUGGUUUUGUGAUAUGACUACAGUUUAGCCUUAUUACUAAUCACCAAUUACCAUGAAAUGGACAUUUUAAACUCUAAAGUUAUUUGAAACUGGUCUCCAGGAGUAAGCCAGAUUUUAUUUUCUUCAUAAAGUGCACAAUACUCUGCAAUGUGUCAAGGAUUGAAUAAUACCUUACUAGUUACUAGUGAUAUUUUCCAAAACAUAACACAGGAGAAAAAAGAUGUCAAAGUUUAUUUUACAUAAUAAAGAUUAAGUUCUGCUCUCCUGAUUGCCAUUUUUAUACUUUCCAAGCAGCUGUGUACUGUAAACAACGUGUGUGGUUUACGAGUAUUCUAGUGGACUCAGACGUAUUUAACAGCAGUAUUGGCUGCUUGUACAUUUCAUACACUGACAGAACAAUUAUCAUAAUUAAGUGCAUAAGACUUUUGUUAAAACUAAUUGCUCAAUCAUGUGUAACCAGAAAUAAUUCUUGUCAAAUAUGCUUUGUGCCAAACCUUGUGCCAUUUGUUUGUUUUACAUCAAGCCAGCCACAAUUUCUGGUGUUUCAGACACUAAUGAGUACUAAAAAUACCUAACUAAACUGACUGAUUGCAGUGGGAAUUUUCCCAGUUAGACUUACAUUUUUGUGAUUAUUCCAACACCACAGGAAUGCAGCACAAAUGCCCUAUCAGGCAGUAUUAAAGAAAGGGAAAGAAAAAUUGUGUAUCCGCCACGUGAUUUGUGAGUUGAGUUCUUCCUUGGCCUGUGAUACACCCUUCCACCAAGUUUCAUGAAAUUCCAGCUAGUAGUAUUUCCAUUAUCCUGCUGACAGACAAACAGACAAACCAGAAACAUAACCUUCGUGGAUGUAAUCACACCUGAUUCUUUACAUUGUGGACUGUCCACUACCAUACCAUUACUCCAUUUUUGUCAAUGUAAUAUACAGUAAGCCUGCUGUGUGGGAAUGGAUAUCUGUUGACUGGUCUACAGCGACUACAAACAAUAGUUACUGCUUAGUUUAUGUAAUUUAGGAGCCUCAGGAACAACAUACCAUGUGAAAUACAUGUAAAGUGCCAAAUGUACUUUUGAUACUUUUUUGGGUAAUUGCUCAAUUCAUUUGCAGAUGGUUCCAAUGUAAAGUCUUUGAUGAAUUUUGUAUUAAAAAAAACUUACGUUGUUAUAAGUGCUUAGCCAUAAUUAAUAAAAGCUUCAUGCAGCAGCUUAGUUGUGUUUCAUGAAUGUCUUACAGAUUUCACUCUGUUAUUUUCUGUAACUGUCUGUACAGUGGACUUCAAGAGCAAAUAAAUGAUCUGACUUUUUAUUGAC